rnacentral:misc_RNA from 1 species
AAAAUGAGAUCAAUUGCCCGAAUCUGCUCCUCUAAAGUUCCAGUCAAUGUCACCAGCCUAUCAUUCAACCCAUAAAAAUUAUUAUCCAGAGGAGAUAUCUUAAUGCCAGCUUGAGACUCUUCAAUAAAUGACUUUAUAAUAGAUCCUCCCCUCCCAAUUAUGCUACCACAAGAGCUAUUUGGAACAAUUAGUCUCACUUUUGUUCUUGUAUCAAAAUCAACACCAUCUUCAGCAU